UACGUAGGGUGCGAGCGUUAAUCGGAAUUACUGGGCGUAAAGCGACCGCAGGCGGCCUGACAAGUCGGAUGUGAAAGCCCUGGGCUCAACUCAGGAAUUGCAUUCGAAACUGGCAGGCUCGAGUACGGGAGAGGGGGGUGGAAUUCCUGGUGUAGGGGUGAAAUUCGUUGAUAUCAGGAGGAACACCGGCGGCGAAGGCGGCCCCCUGGCCCGCAACUGACGCUCAUGGUCGAAAGCGUGGGGAGCAAACAGG
rnacentral:rRNA from 1 species